rnacentral:rRNA from 1 species
GACGAACGCUGGCGGCGUGCCUAAUACAUGCAAGUAGAACGCUGAAGAGAGGAGCUUGCUCUUCUUGGAUGAGUUGCGAACGGGUGAGUAACGCGUAGGUAACCUGCCUUGUAGCGGGGGAUAACUAUUGGAAACGUAACCUAAUACGCCAUACCAUGGGUGACCCCAUUUAUUUAUUUUAAAAGGGGAAUUUGCUCACCACAAAAAUGAACUGCGUUGUAUUAGCUAGUAGGUGAGGUAAUGGCUCACCUAGGCGACGAUACAUAGCCGACCUGAGAGGGUGAUCGGCCACACUGGGACUGAGACACGGCCCAGACUCCUACGGGAGGCAGCAGUAGGGAAUCUUCGGCAAUGGGGGCAACCCUGACCGAGCAACGCCGCGUGAGUGAAGAAGGUUUUCGGAUCGUAAAGCUCUGUUGUAAGUCAAGAACGGGUGUGAGAGUGGAAAGUUCACACUGUGACGGUAGCUUACCAGAAAGGGACGGCUAACUACGU